AGCAUGGCUUGACAAGUGGUGCCAUGUCCACACCUGGGAUCCGAACUGCUGAACCCGGAGCUGCUGAAGUGGAACGUGGGAACUUAACUGCUGUGCCACCGGGCCGACCCCAGUUGUAUAGAUUUGUAUAAUAAUGAGAAAAGCUUUCAGUAAUUCACCGUCAAGUAUGCUGUUUGCUCAAGACUCAUUGGAGAUGACCUCUAUCAGAAUUAGACAGGUCCCUUCGAUUCCUAGUUUGCUGGACUGGUGACGGAAAGGACUCAAAUUGAAGAUAUAUCUAGGGAGGUGCCUGUUGAUAACACUUCCAGUUUCAGACAACCCUGUGUGAUACCCUUUGGACCCUGAAUAUUGGGACUUCCUGUGCUGUGCUCAUAAGGCAUUAUGUAAGACACAUGAGGGCACAGAUCUUAGAAUGUGGCCGCGUGGAAGAGAACUGACUCCCGUGGAGGAGCGGAGGCAGCCGGUGCUCUCCGGCCAGUGCUCUCGGGCCGCUCAGCCUUCGGAGAAGGUGUAUUGAGGCUCACUGAUCAAGAGACCACUGCCACUGAAGAUCGUUUGUUACUCUCUUUUCCAGGAGGCCAGGGACAUCAUGCUGUGCCCAGGGAUGCACCAGAGUUGGCCAGGAGGCAGCAGGAGCAAGGGAGAAUGUGGGCACAAGCCUCAUCGUGUUCUGUGGGAAGGAGUGGGCGAGGCAGGGGGAGCAGACUUAGCAUCGCUGGUUUGGAUAAUUUCGGUGGUCCGGCUCUAAGGGCCGUCUUAAUGGUCUGCCUGCCCCGGGAUGCUUCAGGGCAGGAGAAUAGUGUCCCAAAGUGCAGGCGCCUGAUAGAAAGACGUGAGAGGGGUGUGGACUCAGGCUUCAUUGGUUUGCACAUCAAGGGCGUGAUCACAGACAAGUUGUUUGCUGCCUCUAGGAAUGAGCUCACUCUGAAAGGGCCAGUCCCUCCUCUGUCCGCAAGCCGCUAAAUGUCAAAGCAUCAUAAAAUACAGAACAUAAAAAACGUGAGUAAUACAAAUACUAUAGAGAUGUCACUCAGAGACUGUAGCUAUAUUAUUACUUGAACAAAAUUGAGAGCAUUUCCUCUCUGUCUGCAUCUGAAUUCCAUGAGAGCAAUGGCAAGUAAUCUUUUCCUGUACUUUUAUCUAGAAGGUUAAUUUCAUUUGUCUUUAGUUUGUAUCCCACAUUGAAUCAGAGCAAAAAAGAAUUUGAAAAGUGGACUUGAAACAGCAGGUGAAAUUCAGAUAGUGGUUUAUCACUGGAGUUGUUAAACAGGCUUUCAGUGUUUCCUACAGUUCAUGCAGCCAGUGGGUGUCACCCUCUGUUCUGAUGGCAGAGGACCAGCAGGUGCCCGAAAGCCCUGGAGUGCUCCUGGAGUGCGGUCUGACGGUGAAGGGAAGGGUGGAGGCGUUGCCCGACAGUUCCAAGGUCAUGGCUUGAAAUCACCAAACACAAGUUGGGUGCUUGAUUUCUCUAGAGGUUUCGGAUGUUUGGCUUAGAGCUUUGUCUCCCCACCUGUCCCGGUUUCGGAUGUUUGGCUUAGAGCUUUGUCUCCCCACCUGUCCCCGCUGGUGCUCGUGACUUCUGACCCUUGACCACCUGGACAUUCUUCAGGAACAUUUUACACCGCUGCACGGGAGGCGUGCUCUUGGAGCAGUGCUUGACAGAACGGAAGCCUGUGGCCGCGCCUGUUGAACUGCUUGCCAAGGACAUCUGUUGAGUUAUACCUAGUAAUUUUCAUUAUGUGAAAGAGCUGCAGUCACCCGCCCGGACGUGGCCGUGGAACAGGGGAGAAGAGGUGCAGCGAAUGGAAAGGAAGAGAAGGCGAGUGCGGCGCCUCCCCUGUAAGAAAUGCUCGGCAUCCUCUUGGUUCUCAGCCCAGGCGUCACAUCACCUACUCUGUGUAGUUUUGGAAAACACGGAGGCCUGGGCAUUCCUGAGACCCCCUAAUCUAGAACCCCAGGGCGGUGCCUGGAAACCUGUAGCUCGAGGACCUCCUCGGAGCUUCUGUGCGCAGGGUGAGGUCCACUCUGGCAGGUUCCUAAUUAGGAGUCAGGUCCCUGCUACCCCACAUUGCUGUCGCUUGAUGAGGCUGAGGGUCUGUGUUCCGCCAAAAGGGUGUAAGUUCCCUAGGCAAGGGGUCUCUUCGUCCUUUCCCUCACGUCUCCUCACCAUGCCUGCUCAGUUGAUGUGCUCAUUUGACCAAUGUUGAAAGGCUUCUGGCAAACCUCUUCUUGCUUCCUAGUGUCGAAGUUCUUUAAAGGGGGUUGGCUUUGACUGGGGCUGUCCAGUGUAACUUGCAGUUGCCCUUUCCCCCUCUCCCUGUGACUGCCUCUCAAGGGGGUAGAGUGGGCUAGACCAAGGGCUGGCUAAGGCCUGUCAGGUACCACGACCCCGGGGAGCAGAUGUAGCCCAGCCAGGGGCCAGGGUGGGAGUUUCAACCAGAGGACACAGGCCGGGCUUGUGACCUGAUGGCUGGGCUUGGACAGGAUCCCCCUCCAGGGUUUUAAGGCAGCCAGAAGCCACAAAGAUGGAGGAGCAGUCAAUGAUCGAAGUUAGAACUUACAUGUACCAAAAUUGGCUGUGAUGAUACACUGUCUUAGGAAUCAGACCUGUGUGUGUCCUCAGAUCAGGAUCCUAGGACGAGGAUCCUCUUACCUCCACUCAGUAGUGAAUCAGAUAUUUGGGUGUUAGGGAUGAAUUGUAUUCUAACUUCCAGAACAAGACAAGUUCUGGCUGAUGGCAGCAAAGUGUUAGUUUCUCUGUCCAGCUCCUGCCAUCUUCCCCUCAUCUCAGCCAGUCAAUACUAAUAUUAUUUCUCAGAGUUUCUCCUUUAAGGGCCUUUAAGUUCCAUCAAGUAUUGCAAGAACACCUACAGAAUAGAGAAUUUCUUCCCCAGAUUUCCCCUCAAGACCUAGUGGUAACUAAAAAACCACCAAGUGGCAAAAGUGGGAUUUUUAUUUCUGAAAUAAAUCCUCUGGCAGUAUUAGGAACUGGGUAACAAUAGGGGAUGGGUCGUGAGCUUUCCUCCCUUAACUUUACAGAGACCUGAGAAAGGAGGUGCUGGGAAGCACGAAGUGAGGGGACGCUCUUGUGGCACGUCAAGGCAGGAGCAGACUCUCUGUGGGGGUGUGGAGAGAACUGUGAGACUGUCUGUUGAGAUGAGUGGGGAACGGGGAUGCAGUCUUUGAUGAGUCCUUGGCUAAUAAUAUGACUUUAAAAUAUGACUUUCUCAAGCUUUUGAACUCUAGUGUUUGUCAGCUCUGAAGGUGACAGCGAGGUGUUAGUGCAGGACAGCAGACCUAUCUGACAUGUUGACAUGCCUUUCUCUUCACUCACAGUUCAACAGUCAAGCUACUCAUUUUUUUAAGGCUCUGUGUUUGCAAAGCACUUUGUAAGACCUGGUGGUGGAAACACUAACGAGUUUAUGACUGGUUUCUUAAAUUCUUGCCAUCUAGUUGGGAUAUAAGACAUGCCCAUAAAACAUGAUUACGGUGUGAGGUAGAAUGUUAAUUGUCAGUGGAAUGUACAAGAAAUGAGUUUACUAGGUAUUCCGUGCUGAGAUGGGACCUCAUCCGACCCUGAGCGAGGACAAGAAUGAAGCUUAUCAAUUAUUAUGUCUGGUUUGUCCUGAUGACCGAAGAAGAUGCUUGUGUUCAAGAUACAGUGUUACUCUAACUUGACACUUACAUUCUAAGAUGCAGUAAGCAUGGUUUAUAUUUCGAAAUAAGUUUCAAUAGAAGAAAAAAGGAAGAUGCUUCAUGCUGGCCUUUCAAGGAGGAUUGGACUGAACUCAGUUUUGUACUGACAUUGCGCUCGUGACUGUUAAUGUCCAUUUUCAUGGUGUGAAUACAGGCAAGCCUGCACUGUGCUGCAGUGUGCAGAUAGUGCAUGUUUUACAAAUUGAAGGCGAGACCCGCCCCCACCAGCGAAAAGAUACUGACUCGCUAAAGGCUUGGAAGAUGGUUAGCAUUUUUUAGCAAUAAAGUAUUUUUUAACUAAGGUAUGUACAUUUUUUUAAACAUCAUGCUCUUUCACAACUAAUAAACUACAGUAUAGUGUAAACAUAACUUUUAGAUGCACUGGGAAACCAAAAAAUUGGUGUGACUCCCUUUGUCGCAGUACUGGCUUUAUUGCGGUGGUCUGGAACCACACCCACAGUAUCUCUGAGGGGCACCUGCAUUACAAUAAUGGUGUUCAGAACAGCCAGCUGAGAUGGAACUCUUCAGCCUUUGACACUGAAAGGUUGAAAAUAAGACUUAAAAUAGUUUGCAUAUUCUGAAUGGAAAACUAUUUAAAAGAUGUUAAGUAUGGCUUUACUUUUAAAAUAUAAUUUUCAUCCUAAUAUUCAAGUAUUAGAAGAUAUACCAAUGACACACGGACAUAGCCACACGCAAAUGAUCAAUUCCAUCAUGCAAAUCAGAUAUGCAUUCUACCAGAAAAUGUGUGUAUAUUUUUAAAGGAGAGUAUGCUUAUUUUAUUUGCAGAUAAGGUUUCUGCAUAUCUGUAAGUCUAUUUUAUUUAUUUACUUUUUUAAAGGUUUUAUUUUUCAUUUUUCUUCCCAAAGCCCCCUGGUAUGCAGUUGUGUAUUUUCAGUUGUGGGUCCUUCUAGUUG